UGAGUAACCUGCCCUGGACUUUGGGAUAACCCUCGGAAACGGGGGCUAAUACCGGAUAUGACGACUCACCGCAUGGUGUGGUUGUGGAAAGUUUUUCGGUUUGGGAUGGGCUCGCGGACUAUCAGCUUGUUGGUGUGGUGAUGGCCUACCAAGGCGACGACGGUUAGCCGGCCUGAGAGGGCGACCGGCCACACUGGGACUGAGACACGGCCCAGACUCCUACGGGAGGCA
rnacentral:rRNA from 1 species